UACGAAGGGAGCUAGCGUUGUUCGGAAUCACUGGGCGUAAAGCGCACGUAGGCGGAUGUGUCAGUCAGGGGUGAAAUCCCGGAGCUCAACUUCGGAACUGCCUUUGAUACAGCACGUCUUGAGUCCGAUAGAGGUGGGUGGAAUUCCGGGUGUAGUGGUGGAAUGCGUAGAGAUCCGGAGGAACACCAGCGGCGAAGGCGGCAUCCUGGACUGGUCCUGACACUCAGGAGCGAAAGCGUGGGGAGCGAGCCGG
rnacentral:rRNA from 1 species